rnacentral:rRNA from 1 species
UACGUAGGGUGCAAGCGUUGUCCGGAAUUAUUGGGCGUAAAGAGCUCGUAGGCGGUUUGUCGCGUCUGCCGUGAAAGUCCGGGGCUCAACUCCGGAUCUGCGGUGGGUACGGGCAGACUAGAGGUAUGCAGGGGAGAACAGAAUUCCUGGUGUAGCGGUGAAAUGCGUUGAGAUCGGAAGGAACGCCCGUGGCGAAAGCGAAGGUCCUGGACGUUUUCUGACGCUGAGACGCGAAAGCCAGGGGAGCGAACGGG